GAGUGUAUAUUAAAUUUGCUGCAGUUAAAAAGCUCGUAGUUUGAAUUGAAGGGUGGAUAUGAUGUUCCUUGGCGAUUGCCUUGGUUCAUCACCACUCUUUUGCGGAUGUCAAGCAAUUGCCAUCCACUCAUUACUUUGAGAAAAUUAGAGCGCUCCAAGCAGGCUCCAAAACACGCCUUGAAUAGUUCAGCAUGGAAUAAUGGAACAUGUCUUUACAUGUUUUUUAUUGGAUUUGUGCAUGUUAGAGAAAUGAUUAAUGCGGAUGACUCGAGGGCAUCAGUAUGCACGGGGGAGAGGUGAAAUUUUAUGAUCCCGGACAGACUAACAGAUGCGAAAGCGCUUGCCAAGGGCUUCCCGAUCAAUCAAGAACGAAAGUAGAGGGAUCGAAGAUGAUCAGAUACCGUCGUAGUCUCUACUAUAAAUGAUGAUGACUGACUGAAGUGGGAGCAGAUGUAGCUAACACUGCAUUCGCCUUGCUCCGGUCGUUGAGAAAUCAUUAAGUAUUCAUCUCUGGGGGGAGUAUGAUCGCAAGAUUGAAACUUAAAGGAAUUGACGGCACA
rnacentral:rRNA from 1 species